rnacentral:rRNA from 1 species
CAAGCGGUGGAGCGUGUGGUUUAAUUCGAUGCAACGCGAAGAACCUUACCUGGCCUUGACAUCCAGAGAACUUAGCAGAGAUGCUUGGUGCCUUCGGGAACUCUGAGACAGGUGCUGCAUGGCUGUCGUCAGCUCGUGUUGUGAAAUGUUGGGUUAAGUCCCGCAACGAGCGCAACCCUUAUCCUUUGUUGCCAGCGGUUCGGCCGGGAACUCAAAGGAGACUGCCGGUGAUAAACCGGAGGAAGGUGGGGAUGACGUCAAGUCAUCAUGGCCCUUACGGCCAGGGCUACACACGUGCUACAAUGGCGCAUACAAAGAGAAGCGACCUCGCGAGAGCAAGCGGACCUCAUAAAGUGCGUCGUAGUCCGGAUUGGAGUCUGCAACUCGACUCCAUGAAGUCGGAAUCGCUAGUAAUCGUAGAUCAGAAUGCUACGGUGAAUACGUUCCCGGGCCUUGUACACACCGCCCGUCACACCAUGGGAGUGGGUUGCAAAAGAAGUAGGUAGCUUAACCUCCGGGAGGGCGCUUACCACUUUGUGAUUCAUGACUGGGGUGAAGUCGUAACAAGGUAACCAAGGGCGAAUUCUG